GACGAACGCUGGCGGCGCGCUUAACACAUGCAAGUCGAGCGAGAACCAGGGCUUCGGCCCUGGGGACAGCGGCGAACGGGUGAGUAUCACGUGGAUAACCUGCCCUCGGCACCGGGAUAGCCCGGGGAAACUCGGAUUAAUACCGGAUAGCCAUUCCGACUCUCGGGUCGGUCUGAAAAGGUAGCUUCGGCCUCUGGCUGAGGAUGGGUCCGCGGCGGAUUAGCUUGUUGGUGGGGUAACGGCCUACCAAGGCGACGAUCCGUAGCUGGUCUGAGAGGACGAUCAGCCACACUGGGACUGAGACACGGGCGAGAAUCCUACGGGAGGCAGCAGUGGGGAAUCUUGCGCAAGGGGCGAAAGCCUGACGCAGCGACGCCGCGUGAGGGAGGAAGGCCUUCGGGUUGUAAACCUCUUUCAGGAGGGACGAAGCUACUCGGGUGAAUAGCCCAGAGGGUGACGGUACCUCCAGAAGAAGCCCCGGCUAACUACGUGCCAGCCGCCGCCGUAACAC
rnacentral:rRNA from 1 species